rnacentral:misc_RNA from 1 species
GAUGAAGAACGCAGCGAAUUGCGAUAAGUAAUGUGAAUUGCAGAAUUCAGUGAAUCAUCGAAUCUUUGAACGCACCUUGCGCCCUUUGGCUAUUCUGAAGGGCAUGCCUGUUUGAGUAUCGUGAACACCCCAACUCUCAUGGUCUGCCAUGAUGAGCUUGGACUUUGGGGGUCUUGCUGGCCUACUGUCAGCUCCUCUCAAAUGAAUCAGCUUACCAGUGUUUGGUGGCACCACAGGUGUGAUAACUAUCUACGCUUGUGGUUUUCUGCCAGGUAACCUCCAGUGAUGGAGGUUCGCUGGAGCUCACAAAUGUCUCUCCUCAGCGAGGACAGCUUUUUGAACGUUUGAUCUCAAAUCAGGUAGGACUACCCGCUGAACUUAAGCAUAUCAAUAAGCGGAGGA